CUCAUGCGAAAAGCCAUAUCAUUGACUCUCUGGUUCUCAAACACUUCUCAAGCCAUGGAGGAAACUGCAUGAGAGUCAAUGAAUAGUUCUUUUUCUGAAAACAUGGCUGAACUGACUCUCGAGUUCUGUUACAGUGUCACAUUCUCAAAGUCAUUCUAGGAAUUGGGCAGGCCAGAAUCAUUAUCCUGUCAUCCCUGAAGAUGCCAGUGUAAGGUUGAACUGUGGAGCCAGUGUCUAAGCCUCUGCUGCAGGCUCCCUAGGACACUCAGAGGCAGGAAGCUCCUUUCUUGCCAGGACCAGGUUCCCAAGAUUCGCAGGCGUGGUGCCUAGACCAGACUGCUGAGAUGAGAGGUCUGGCCUGUCUUCUCUGUCCCCGUCUCUGGAAACUGUUUUGGGACUUUGGAUGUCUACCAGUGCCAGGAUGAAGACAAAGGUUUCUGACUUGAGGACGAAGCAGAUGGCCUGCGCUUCCCACAGAAGUGGACCUUGGCAGCUGCCAAGCUUCUUCGUGAGCCUUGACGUCUGGCUCUUAUUUCCAGUCCUGGCUCUAUCCUCUACUGUUCCAGAAGCUUUGGGAUCUGGCUGGCUUCACGGUUCCCGGCACUCGGCUCAUCUCUAGGAGGAAAUGAGGCAUCCAGCAAUGACAUAAGGCAUCUGACUUAGUUUCAAGCUCAGCUCAAUGUUUGUGCAUGAUGUCUUCGUUAGGGUUACUGUUGGUGUGACAAAGCACCAUGAUCAAAAGUAAGUUGGGAAGGAAAGGGUUUAUUAAGCUAAGGAUUACACACUAUUGUUUAUUA
rnacentral:lncRNA from 1 species